rnacentral:lncRNA from 1 species
CGACAAUUCGAUAAUCAGAACUUCAAAAAUUCUAUGUGAAAUUCGAUAUUACAUACAAGCUCACAAUAGUCGGCCAUCCAUAAUCCAAUAAUAAGGUGAAAGUGACAAAUCGAACAAUCCUACAUGGUCUCAAGAUUAAACUGAAUGAAGCUAAAGACCUCUGGAUGGAAGAAUAGUAUCCGAUCUUAUGGGCAUAUCGAACAACUCGUAUAUCGAUGGGAGAGUCGCCAUUCAACUGGCCUAUGAAAUAGAAGCAAUGAUUUCACUUGAGAUUGGAUUACCAUCGACAAGAGUUGAAUAGUAUGAUGAGUCGAGUAAUUCAGAAUGUCGAAGAGCCAAUCUAGACUUACUUUUGAAAGUCCGACAGCAAGCUCAAGUUCGAAUGGCAGCAUAUCAGCAAAGAAUAGCUUGAUAUUAUAAUGACAAAAGUUAAACCGAAGGUCUUCCGUUCAGAAGAUCU